rnacentral:misc_RNA from 1 species
CCGAGUUUACAACUCCCAAACCCCUGUGAACAUACCUACUUGUUGCCUCGGCGGAUCAGCCCGCUCCCGGUAAAACGGGACGGCCCGCCAGAGGACCCCUAAACUCUGUUUCUAUAUGUAACUCCUGAGUAAAACCAUAAAUAAAUCA